CCCUACUCUCGAGUGCCGCCUUGUGGCCAAGUUCGGAACAUCAGCGAGGUAUUUUGAAAUCCGCGCCUCGGCUCCCAGGCUGAAUGCCACUCGCACAAAAGAACUCCUGUUGACAUCUCAUUUACAAUCUCCCCCAGGACACAGACAAGACCAUUUCAAUAAACCCGGCUCAGAAACACCUAUUGUUCGAAAUCUUCAACGAGCAACAGGCUUCCACCGCAACCUAUUGUUUUGUAAAAUAAAGGAUUUAGAAGGAGUAGGAUUGAGACCGUGGACACCGUGAAAAGAGGAAGGAAAAGUCCCUUUGACCCGAUGCUGUCCGAGAGCGUGCAAGAAGAAUGAAGUUAAUGGAUUUCCAUUUUUAUAAGAAGUGUGUAAGAAACGCCUGUUAAGUUUCUGAACUGGUGACGGAGAACUGUAAAUGUGCUGCCAACUUGGUACGUGGAGAAGCAAACUCCUGCCCACGGGUUUGCUAAAUGAAAAGCCGCAGGCUCUCUGGCCUUAUCCUCAGCCUUCCCAAAGCCCUGGUAGCCCCAUGGCCGAGCACCAGGUAUUGCUGUAUUUUUUUUUAACCAUUUGGUUUUGAAGCAAAUUGUGUGUGAUUACCACAUUUGAAAAACAAUAAUGAAAACCUUUCAAAACGGUUUGAUACUUCAGCGUCUUUAAGAGCUUACGGACCUCUGACCCAGAAGACAACCGCCAAACAGCAGCACAUGACUCGGGGUGUUUCCAGACCUAACGACUUACCAUUUCCAGGACGCCACCUUUUUACACGGCUUUAUGCCUGUGGCACUCGUUGUUUGCUUUCUUAUAACCACUCCUCUUGCCAACAGGACUCCAGUGCUGAUGACUUUUCCAAGCAGCCAUGACUUUUUGGCGCCUUACAAACUGAGCUACCCAGGCAUACACCAGCCAUGACUUUUUGGGAAGGUCGGCCCCUUCCCAAAUUUGGAGGCUAAAUCUUCAUUGAAGGGAAGACUGAUGGGAAUGCUUCUUGGAAGGUGCCUAGUUAAAGCACCACAAGUUGGAGACAUCCCUUUUCUUCCUCUGAAUAUUGUCAUCUCCAAGCAAUACCCUGAAUUGUGGCUGUCGUCUGGGGACCACAAAGACAAGCCACAGUGAAGAUGACAGGUGGGAAGAUGGCAGGAAGCUGGUUUGGAUGUAUUCAUUGGCUGUCUUACCUCUAGGUUUGCUGUUAUUUGAGAAAAUGAAUGCCUUUCCCAUCUGAGUCAUUUUGAUUUUAUUUCUCAAAUUUUAUUUGCUUGUUUAUUUGGCUUGGAGUUAUGCAAAUAAGUUUGCACAUGCUAA